rnacentral:rRNA from 1 species
UACAGAGGAUGCAAGCGUUAUCCGGAAUCAUUGGGCGUAAAGAGCGUGUAGGCGGUCCGGUAAGUCCGCUGUGAAAGUCGGGGGGCUCAACCCUCGAAUGCCGGUGGAUACUGUCGGGCUAGAGUGCGGAAGAGGCGAGUGGAAUUCCUGGUGUAGCGGUGAAAUGCGCAGAUAUCAGGAGGAACACCUAUUGCGAAGGCAGCUCGCUGGGACGUAACUGACGCUGAGACGCGAAAGCGUGGGGAGCAAACAGG